GAGUGGAUAGCUCAGUGGCAGAGCGUGUACUUAGCACGCACGAGGUCUGGGUUCAAUUCCCAGUACCUCCA
rnacentral:tRNA from 1 species